AUUGCAGUGAAAUUUGAUUCCUCUUUUCUGAUGAAAAGGAUGACCUGAAAAAAGGACACAAGAAAAGCGGAUUUUUAUGAAAUUUUUGUGUUGUUAAAAGAAUAUAUACGAGACGGCCUAAUAAGAGAGGAAAAAAGAUCGGUUGCCUCCCCUCUGUUGGAAUGCAGCGUUGGAUUUUUGAAUGAGGGCGUAGAUGCCAGGCGAUUAGAGGCAGGAUUAUGCAAAUUGCUCUCACGGACGAGCACAUCAUGAGGCAAUUUGUGGGGUUCGUCGUCUGAUGCAGCAAAUAUUUUGGACAUCUAUUGGAGCACCGUGGAUACGGCAUGUUGUCAGAAAAUUGGGCGUCGUCGCAAGGGAGCAUCAGGUCAUCUCGUCGUCAAGGUACAUGUUUCAUUCUUGCAUGGAAUGUCGUCAGGUGUAUAAAGUAUCACAGAUGGUUGAGAGUCAGCAGUCAACAUCGUUAUAAAUAUUCAACAUUUAUAUUGCAAGGAAGAUGUACAGAGAAGACAAGUUAACUAUGUCACAAGGUUCGCAGAGAUGAUGCAGGCAUUGAGAACAGGAUUAAAGACAACAUGUAACAAGUAAUUCUGGCGGGGUGCUGUCAGUAGAUGUGCAUUCGCUUCUUUGUCAUAUUUCUCUUUGGAGAUAAUAUUUGGCGAAGGAUAAUGUCAUUAAUUCCUUUUCCUUUUUCCAGGUUUCCGGUGCUUAGGAGGUAAAAAAAAAAUUUGGGAAAAUUGGGGAAUACUCCGGGAGACUCUCCGUUCCCUCGACCACAACCGACUGGGCCCUGGAGCAGAAAGGAAGUGUGGCAUUAAAGCCCGCCAACGUAAUUUUGAAAUUAUAAAAUUGUUAAAUGUUAUUUGCUUUUUAAAAAUUGUUAAAGCCAAAGUCUA
rnacentral:sRNA from 1 species